ensembl:lncRNA
CUCUGAACAUCCCAUGGGCUCUCAAGGCUGAUUUCUGUGCAAGCAGGAGUUGUUACUUUGGCAAAUGAAUAUUCAGCCAUGUGCUUAGAAAUCUCAUUUUCUCCCCUGGUACAAAGUGGGAACAACUGCAUGCAUUCUUGUCACGGUAUUUCUUCUUUAAUUUUCCUCCAUUUUGCACUCUUGCAAUCUCUGCAAUUAUAUUUGGCACAGUAAUUAUUAUUGUUCCAGUUGUAAUUCCUGCAACAGGGGAUCCUAAUGCAGCGUUGCUUGGUGCCUUGUGAACUCCAGCACUGGCUAUUUUCAUCUUUAAGCCACAGUUAAUCCAUGACCUUAGUGCUUUUGUCUCCGGGUCUGAAUUAUCAUGGCAAUGCCGAAUAAGUAUUCCUAUGGGGAAAGCAAAAAUGCUUUUCUGGGUGUUUAGGAUUCCUGCCAAGUGGACACAAAGUCAACUGAAGCAGAAAGGUACCCCACACUCUGCAGUGGCCACUGCAAUGGCAAGUCCUGGAUCCCUCUUCUCUUGGAGCAGCUCAGCAGAGGAGCACAAAGACAUCAGUGCUGGCAUGGCUCACCCAGCAGCACACCUCUGGAAGACUGAAUGCUGCUCAGGCAACUCCACUCACUCCCCCAGCAUUGCUCAAGGCCUGCUACUCCCAUGCACGCCCCACCUAAAGAGCAGGAUGUGGCCUAUGUUUCCCGAUCUCAACCAGGCUAUGGCCCAUGCUCAGCCGCAGCAUAUCCCUCUUUUCCAAAGACCAAAAGUGUUGGGGCACAUGCGAACAUGGUGAGAAUGUUCUAGAAGACUGACAGGGGUUCAGUAAUCCCAGCAGCCCAACAGACUGGCACCACAGCACAGGAGCUGAAAUUGCAUUGAUGGUAAGGCAGAGAAGACUGAGAAAAUAAGGCACUCUCAACGUGAUGCAGUGAUGUUUCAAGAUACCCAUUUAUUUUUCUUCCUCCGGAAGCCCCAGGACCACGGUGGCUUUUCAGACUGUAUCAGUACACAGCAGAGCAUAGGAAGGGUGGGGAUGUCAUGCUCCUUCAUGACCAGCCAGAGAAGGCUGCACAGCACCCCAGCAGGCUUUGCAGAUUGCAGUUAGCUGAGAAUAGUUUGGUGUCUUUCCUAUUCUGAGGACUUCUUUCUCAAUGUGUGUGUGAACGAGCAAGCAAUCAGCCAUUAGGACAGGAAGCUCACAGAACGGCUUGGGUUGGAAGGGACCCUAAAGAUCAUGUAGUUAUUUGCUGCACAAGCAUCACGUGUGGUGCAGGCUCGCUCACAACAGGUGAGUGCGUGGAGAUGCAGAGAUGCAGCCUUGUCUACCUAUUCUGAAGAGCAGUUCCUUUGCAGAUGACUGCUUGCACCAGUUUUAAAGCUGGAUGCAAGAGACCCAUUGCUGUUGUUAGAGCUGGCUGUAUGCUGGCAACCCAAGGCUGGAAGCACUCUGGCUUUGCUGAGCCCAAGAAGGCAGCAUGAGUGAAUUACCUUAAAUUAAACACAGUUCAUACACAGAGGCAUAACAGAGGCACAGUGGGAGCUUUGUGCUGUUACAGGUUGCAUUAGAGAUGUGCUGAUGUAGAACUCUACCAGUGUGAAGACUCCUGCACAGCACUCAGCUGAGAUGUGACCUUUUCCUCCUGGUGAGCCUGCAGCAGCUACGCACGGCUUUGCAGGAUGCUGAAAACAGCACAACACGAAAACAACUCCAAAUGAAGUUGCUUUAAGUGCUUCCUAUCUGAGAAACGCAGGGGGAAAGUGAUGCUAUCAAAAGUGUUGCACGUGGGAUUCUUUGAGUAUGCGUUCACUUCUUCAAGAUUCCAUAACCGGCAUUUUUCUUUCUUUUUUUUUUUUUAAUGCAACAAAACUCUGCUGCCUGUGAGUGAGGAAGUGGCUCUUCCUCCCAGGACCUCGCUCUGCCCCAAUGGGGUUUCGGACCCGCCCGCCCCGUCCAGGCGCGGUACUGCCGCAGCGAGGGCUUUGCCUAGCGAAAACUUGCGAAUCCGGCGUUCCUCCGAAUGAAAGAAAGUGACAUGUUGGAUGAGGGGGGCGGGUGGGAGGAGAGAAAGGGCGGGAUCUUUUUCUCCUGCUUGAUCUAUGGAGCCCGCCCCCUUAAAUUGGCUCCCGGGAGCGCCCC